rnacentral:rRNA from 1 species
GACGAACGCUGGCGGCGUGCUUAAUACAUGCAAGUCGUGCGGUAAGACCCUUUCCUUGGUCCACGAGUGGCGCACGGGGGAGUAACAGUUACAUGACCUUCACACAACUUUGAGACAACGCUAACAAACUGGUGCUAAUACUGGAAAUGUGCUCUUUCUUCAUGGGGGGGGUUGAAAAGCUCCAGCGGGUGUUGAUGGACCCGCGCCCUAUCUGCUCGUUGGUGUGGUAACGGCUUAACGUGGCGGCGUUGCGUAGCCGAGCUGCGAGGGUGACCGGGCACACAGGGACUGAGACACGGUCCAGGGACCGACAGGAGGCAGCAGUAGGGAAUCGUGCGAGCAGGGCGGAAGCCUGACGGAGCGGCGCCGCGUGGAUGAUGAAGCUCUUCGGGUCGGAUGACGCUCUUAGUGGGGAAAAACGAAUGCAGAAGUAACGAAGCUCUUCGUGACGGUACCUAAAGAGGAAGCAACGGCUAACUACGUG